AGCACUGCUUAUUGGAUCCGACUAAGCCAUGCGAGUCGAGAGGGUUCGGCCCUCGCAGACUGCUCAGUAACACGUGGAUAACCUAACCUUAGGUGGAAGAUAACUCGGGAAACUGAGAAUAAUAUCCAUAGAUCUAGGAUGCUGGAAUGCAUCUAGAUUGAAAGUCCGACGCCUAAAGAUGGGUCUGCGGACUAUCAGGUUGUAGUCAGGGUAAAGACCUGACUAGCCUACGACGGAUAUGGGUUGUGAGAGCAAUAGCCCAGAGACGAUAUCUGAGACACGAUAUCGGGCCCUACGGGGCGCAGCAGGCGCGAAAUCUUCACAAUGUGCGAAAGCACGAUGAGGGGAUCCCAAGUGCUGGCACGUAAGUGUCAGCUGUUUCUUAGUCUAAAAAACUGAGAGAGUAAGGGCUGGGUAAGACGGGUGCCAGCCGCCGCGGUAAUACCUGCAGCUCAAGUGGUGGCCGCUAUUAUUGGGCCUAAAACGUCCGUAGCCUGUUUAGUAAAUGCUUGGGUAAAUUGUGUAGCUUAACUAUACGAAUACCGGGUAGACUGCUAAACUUGGGACCGGGAGAGGCUAGAGGUACUCCUAGGGUAGAGGUGAAAUUCUGUAAUCCUAGGGGGACCACCAGUGGCGAAGGCGUCUAGCUAGAACGGGUCUGACGGUGAGGGACGAAGCCCUGGGGCGCGAACCGGAUUAGAUACCCGGGUAGUCCAGGGUGUAAACGCUGCUUGCUUGAUGUUAGUUGGGCUCCGAGCCCAACUAGUGUCGGAGAGAAGUUGUUAAGCAAGCUGCCUGGGAAGUACGGUCGCAAGACUGAAACUUAA
rnacentral:rRNA from 1 species